ACUACGGGUGGCAGCAGUGAGGAAUAUUGGUCAAUGGGCGGAAGCCUGAACCAGCCAAGUAGCGUGCGGGAUGAAGGCCCUACGGGUCGUAAACCGCUUUUGCACGGGGAUAACACCCUCCACUUGUGGAGGUCUGCAGGUACCGUGCGAAUAAGGGCCGGCUAAUUCCGUGCCAGCAGCCGCGGUAAUACGGAAGGCCCUAGCGUUAUCCGGAUGCAUUGGGCUUAAAGGGGGCGUAGGCGGGCGUUCAAGUCAGCUGUAAAAUCGCGCGGCUCAACCGGCCCCCGCAGUUGAAACUGGACGCCUUGAGUUCACAACAGGCAGGCGGAAUUCGUGGUGUAGCGGUGAAAUGCAUAGAUAUCACGAGGAACCCCGAUUGCGAAGGCAGCCUGCCGGGGUGCGACUGACGCUGAGGCUCGAAGGUGCGGGUAUCAAACAGGAUUAGAUACCCCAGUAGUC
rnacentral:rRNA from 1 species